CGCCUGGCUCCAGGGAGGCUGCGGCACUGACUGGUGUGUGCCUGAAGCCCGCUUCUGCACAGGAAGUGACCGCGGGUGGUCCCAAGCCUGCCUCACUCUCUUUCCUGAAACAGAUGCUCUCCAGCAGAUUCCUCUCCGUUUCCUCCUCUAUAGGCGGAGGAGGAGCGAGAGAGUCGUCCUGUCUGCCCCUCUAUGCAGACGGUGAAGCAGAGGCACCAGACUCACUGGAGACAUCCUGACACAUAAUGCCUUAUCCAGCACAAUGAGAUGCCCUUUACCUAGUCUUAUGAAGAGCAAAGGUUAUGGUGUGCUCAUCAGAGAAGGCACCAAGAAGAUGAAGGAGAAGCUAAGGGGAGAUGGGUCAGCUUCAAGCCAAGGACCUGCCUCACAGUGGAGAGGCCAGCCAGCAGAAGAGCAUGAGGGAGCUAAAUGCAUUAGUGUUUCAUGUCUCCCUCGCCUUCCAUCAUUAAAGCCUUUCUUGACAGUUCUCCCUACUCAGAAACAUGAAGGAAUUGUCAGAAAUCUGGUUUAGCUUAAGCACUACACACACACAACUUGGGGUAGAUUAUUUGAGGAUAGAAACCUGUUUGAGAUAAAGGAAAGCAGUCCUUGUGCCCAGGAAUUCUCAUCAAUUUUCCUUAAGAACCUGAAAGGUUUUUUUCUUCUUACCUACAAAGCAUUGAUUCUAUAGUGUGUGUGUGUGUGUGUGUGUGUGUGUCCCACACUGGGGAGAUUAUCAAAAGAUGUUUUUGGAAACAUG
rnacentral:lncRNA from 1 species